CCAAGAGCGGAGAUUAAAGUGGUUGCAGUUAAAAAGCUCGUAGUUGAAUUUCGGGGUUAGUAGGCUGGUCAUGCCUCUGGUAUGUACUGGUCUCACUGAUUCCUCCUUCCUGAUGAACCGUAAUGCCAUUAAUUUGGUGUUGCGGGGAAUUUGGACUGUUACUUUGAAAAAAUUAGAGUGUUUAAAGCAAGCUAACGCUUGAAUACAUUAGCAUGGAAUAAUGAAAUAGGACGUUCGAUCCUAUUUUGUUGGUUUCUAGGAUUGACGUAAUGAUUAAUAGGGAUAGUUGGGGGCAUUAGUAUUCAAUUGUCAGAGGUGAAAUUCUUGGAUUUAUUGAAGACUAACUACUGCGAAAGCAUUUGCCAAGGAUGUUUUCAUUAAUCAAGAACGAAAGUUAGGGGAUCGAAGACGAUCAGAUACCGUCGUAGUCUUAACCAUAAACUAUGCCGACUAGGGAUCGGAUGAUGUUAAUUUUUUAAUGACUCAUUCGGCGCCUUACG
rnacentral:rRNA from 1 species